CUGUGAUGUGUGUCACAUAAAAAUAAUGAUAUUUGCUGGAGCUACCCAUGAAAUUGAUCAAUAAAGUCAUCGCAAUGUUUGAAAAAAUGAGUGUUUCAUUUGGCACUAUUAACGGGUAAUUAUUUUAUUAAUCACCUGUAAGUCAUCAUAAUGUUCUGUGGCUAUUUCAUACAUCGCAGAUGUCACUAUAGCGAUUAAGAACGAACUAUGAAAUUCGAUAGAAAUAGGCAUGUCAAUUUAUCGAAUUUCAUAUUAUUUUCUAAAAUUCUUAUUUUUAGGAUUAGUCUUGA
rnacentral:ncRNA from 1 species